CGACCCCAGGUCAGUCGGGACUACCCGCUGAGUUUAAGCAUAUCAAUAAGCGGAGGA
rnacentral:rRNA from 1 species